CAGCGCCCGACCUCCAACCCUUUGUUGUUAAAACUACCUUGUUGCUUUGGCGGGACCGCUCGGUCUCGAGCCGCUGGGGAUUCGUCCCAGGCGAGCGCCCGCCAGAGUUAAACCAAACUCUUGUUAUUUAACCGGUCGUCUGAGUUAAAAUUUUGAAUAAAUCAAAACUUUCAACAACGGAUCUCUUGGUUCUCGCAUCGAUGAAGAACGCAGCGAAAUGCGAUAAGUAAUGUGAAUUGCAGAAUUCAGUGAAUCAUCGAAUCUUUGAACGCACAUUGCGCCCCUUGGUAUUCCGAGGGGCAUGCCUGUUCGAGCGUCAUUACACCACUCAAGCUAUGCUUGGUAUUGGGCGUCGUCCUUAGUUGGGCGCGCCUUAAAGACCUCGGCGAGGCCACUCCGGCUUUAGGCGUAGUAGAAUUUAUUCGAACGUCUGUCAAAGGAGAGGAACUCUGCCGACUGAAACCUUUAUUUUUCUAGGUUGACCUCGGAUCAGGUAGGGAUACCCGCUGAACUUAA
rnacentral:misc_RNA from 1 species